CCCAUGAUGGUGAUGACUCAGAAAGCAGGCGCUCAGAACACUCAUAAAGGCCGAUGUGCAGCUUCCUAGACCCAGGCAGGAGGUGAGCCUCAUGGCCUCCUCCUCCCGCCUGCCCCGUGAACUCUUAAACCUGGAGAUGUGCUGAGCCAGGAGCCAAUGGAAUGAACAUGGUUUCCACCGAGUAAAAUUAUCAGCGUGUUAACAGCUGCCCCCCAAACAGCUGGGGAUGCAUUCCCGCCCUGCACAUGCAGACAGCAGCAACAUUUGCUCAACCUGGGAGCUUCAGAGACAGGCAUGAAACUAAAUCUUCCAAAUCCAUUGAGGUGAGCCCAGAUGCACCAACCCAGAGGAUCCAAGGGCUCAGCCUUUUCCAGGCCAUUCCCGGGGCCCUCUGCUCACUCCCCUCCUUCCUCCAUCUCCUUCCUCCCCAUUCUUCAUGCCUCCCUCUCACCCUGCCCUGUGUGUCUGUGUCUUAUGAAUGCCUACGCAUCUGAUGCUCCCUAGGAAGCCCCUCACCAUGCAUACUCCUCCUCAGUGCCCCCUGCCCUAAGCAUCAGGCUUUCUUGACCGUCUAACACUGCACCUGUGCAAGUCCCACCCUGGCCUCUCUGGGGACAGUGAUGUUCUUUCCUUGCCCCCUGAGCCCCAUCAGUACUCGGGAGCUGGCACACAGGGAGUGCCCUCAAAUGGCUGUGGGACAAGUGAGAGGAAGGUGCUGUGACAGCUUGUUUUCAGCCAGUGGACCCACUGAAAUGGAUGGACAGGCUCAAGGGUCCUGAGAGUUGGGUCCCCAGGCCAGUGGAACCAGCGUCACCUGGAACUGGACAGAUGUUGCUAUUAACCCCAUUCUACAGAUGAGAGAGUGAGGCACAGAGAAGGGGAGUACUACAACCAAGAUUACACAGCAGGUGGGGAGACCGAGGCAGAGAUCAUGAGUGAAUCGCCCAAGUUCAUAGAGCUCACCACCGUGCCCCAUCAGGCAUGGCCUCUGUCUAAGCCUGUGCUCUCUGCCCCAGCUGUACCUGUCUGAACAAGGGACUUUGAAGAUGUAUUUAAGAUGAGGUCAUAUUGGAUCACCAUGGACCCUAAAUCCAAUGACUGACUCAAACGGAAACAUCAGCUCUUCUUGAGUCUCAAGCUUGCCAGCUUCUGAACUGGAACUAUAACAUUAGCUCUUCUGGUUCUCAGUUCUACAGUAUUAAAUGAGAGCUUACACCAUCAGCUCUCCUGGGUCUCCAGCUGGCUGGCUGCAGAUCUUGGGGAUUCUCAGCCUCCCUGAUCAUGUGAGCCAACUCCUUAAGAGGCAAGGACACAUGUGGAUGGGAGAAGGCCAUGUGAAGUGGAGGCAGAGAUUUGAGUGAUGCAUCUAUAAGCCAAGAAACACCAAGGACUGCCAGCAACCACCAGAAGCUGGAAGAGGCAAGGAAGGAUUCUACCCUACAGAUUUCAGAGGGAGUAUGGCCCUGCCAACACCUUGAUUUUGGACAUCUAGUCUCCAGAACUAUGAGGUAAUAUAUUUCUAUCAUUUUAAGCCAUCCAGUUUGUAGUACUUUAUGGUGGCCACAUUAAUCUAAUGCAGACAGCCUGAAGUCCUCAGGUCACUUAUGAUCUGAGGCCCCUAAUAAAGAUUCCAGAAUAUAAAUAACUUUCAUUCAUUCAUUCAUUCAUCACUCAGAUAUUUCUCCUGUGCCUGCUAUUUGUGGGUCUUUGUUCUAGUAGCUGGGGACAUGGGACAAAACCCACUGCCCUCCUGGAG
rnacentral:lncRNA from 1 species